UACGUAGGGUGCAAGCGUUUGUCCGGAAUUAUUGGGCGUAAAGAGCUUGUAGGCGGUUUGUCGCGUCUGCUGUGAAAUUUCGGGGCUCAACCCCGAACUUGCAGUGGGUACGGGCAGACUAGAGUGUGGUAGGGGAGACGUGGAAUUCCUGGUGUAGCGGUGAAAUGCGCAGAUAUCAGGAGGAAUACCGAGUGGCGAAGGCAGGUCUCUGGGCCAAUACUGACGCUCAUGCACGAAAGCGUGGGGAGCAAACAGG
rnacentral:rRNA from 1 species